CAUAUACUCCCUCCGUUCGGAAAUACUUGUCCUAGAAAUGGUUGUAUCUAGACGUUCUAGAUACAACCAUUUCUAGGACAAGUAUUUCCGAACGGAGGGAGUAGCUA
rfam:Triticum urartu cultivar G1812 contig535473, whole genome shotgun sequence.